AAUUGAAAGAGUUAAUAUUCUUCGUGUGGGGCCUUUCCUCCCCAUCCCCCUCUCCAGCCUGGACCUUAAGUGUCUGUGACAGCCAUUUUUGUGUGUGUGUGUGUGGUAAAUACACAUAACAUAAAAUUGACCAUUCUAACCACUUUUAAGUAUACAGUGAAGUAACAUUACAUACGUUCACAUUUCGGGGCAAACCACUAUUCAUCUCCAGAACUUUUUCAUAUCAUCCCAAACUGAACCUCUGGACCCAUUAAAUGCUAACUCCUCAUUCCUCUCUCCCCUCUGCCCCUGGUAACCACUAUUCCACUUUCUAUCUCUGUGAAUGUGAUUCUUCUAAGUCCCUCCUAUAGAAGGAGCCAUGCAAAUAUUUGCCCUCCGUGGUGGAUAAUUUUAUGUGUCAACUUGGCUAGUCUGUGGCGACCACUUGCUUGGUCAAACGCCAGCCUAGAUGUUGCCAGGAAGGUAUUUUUUCAGAUGUGAUUAACAUUCAAGUCAGUAGACUUUGCGUAAAGCAGAUCGCUAUCCAUAAUGUGGGUGGGCCUCGUCCAUCAUUUGAAGACCUUAGGAGGAAUGAUUGUGUUUUCCGGGAUAGAAGGGAAUUCUGCCUCCAGAGUGCAACAGAGAAAUUCUGCUUAUGUUUCUAGCCUUCAUACUCAAGACUGCAACAUCGACCCUUCCCCGAGUUUCCAGGCUGCUGGCCUCCGUUACAGAUUUCAGGCUUGCCAAUCCCCACAAUCACCCCAAAUAUCACCUCCUCCUGGAAGCCUUCUGGAGCGUUCUCACAUGGGACAGUCUCCACGUUUAGGAGGCCACCCGCAUGAAAGAGCCCUGGGCAGGAAGCUGGAUGGAGGCAAUGUUCUCAGCUCCUCCAUUUCUCCACCUUGCCCCAAGAGGCCUUGAGUUCACCAGCUGGAAGUUUCCAGGACACGCCAAGGAUUUCUGUCAGGCUUGGGAUCUGACAGCGGGACACCCAGGGCUGCUCUCUGGCUUCCCAGUGCCCCAGGGAGCCAGUGACAAGGAUGAAGAGAGGAUGGGGCUGCCCCUGGGGACCCCAAGCCCCAGAGGCUCCACUACAAGAUGAGAAUAAUCUAUCUCGGAGAGCACCUGGAGGAUUAAAUGAGGCAACAUGAAGCACCCACACAGAGUAAUCACUCCAUACAGGAGGAUAGGACUACUGUGGUUGACACUAUUUUUAUUAUGAACCAGGUGGCUUUGGGCAAAUGGCAUAAUGUCUCUCCACCCCAUUUCCCCGAUCUCCAAAAAUAACAAUAAAAGCUUCACAGAGGGGCUCUGGGCAUUCAAUGAGAUAAAACAUGUAGCAUGAGGGUGCCUGGCUGGCUCAGUCUGGAGAGCAUGUGACUCCUGUCCUCCCGGUCGGGAGUUCGAG